AGGCCGAAAGGCGUAGUCGAUGGAAAACAGGUUAAUAUUCCUGUACCACCUGUUAGGAGUGAUGGGGUGACGGAGAAGGAUAGAUCAUCCGUGUUUUGGAUUACACGGUUCAAGCUCGUAGGAUUAAGAAAUUGGCAAAUCCGUUUCUUUUUAAGUCCGAGAAGUGAGUACGAGAGGCCCUAGGCCUCAUAAAGUGAUUGAUUCCAUGCUUCCUAGAAAAACCUCUAAAUGUUGAAUAAUAGGUGCUCGUACUGUAAACGGACACACGUACGCGGGUAGAGUAUACCAAGGUGUUUGAGAUAAUUAUGGCCAAGGAACUCGGCAAAAUAGCUCCGUAACUUCGGGAUAAGGAGUACCUAUAUUAGGUGAAAGAUCUUGCAUCUGGAGCUGAAAUAGGUGUCACUGAAAUGAUGGAAGCGACUGUUUACCAAAAACACAGGCCUGUGCUAACCCGCAAGGGGAUGUAUACGGGCUGACGCCUGCCCGGUGCUGGACGGUUAAGGGGAUGGGUUAUCCUUCGGGAGAAGCUUAGAACCGAAGCCCCAGUAAACGGCGGCCGUAACUAUAACGGUCCUAAGGUAGCGAAAUUCCUUGUCGUCUAAUUAGCGACCCGCAUGAAUGGCGUAACGACUUCUGUACUGUCUCGGCCAUAAUCUCAGCGAAAUUGUAGUGCUGGUGAAGAUGCCAGCUUCCCGUUGUGGGACGGAAAGACCCCGUGCACCUUUACUAUAACCUAGCACUGGAUUUUGAUGUUAAAUGCGUAGGAUAGGUGGGAGACUAUGAAAGUUUGAUUUUGGUCAAGCUGGAGUCGUUGGUGAAAUACCACCCUUUUGAUGUUAGGAUUCUAACUUAAAUCCGUUAUCCGGAUUGAGGACAAUGUUAGGCGGGUAGUUUGACUGGGGCGGUUGACUCCUAAAGAGUAACGGAGUCGCUCAAAGGUUCUCUCAGCCUGAUUGGAAACCAGGCGUCGAGUGUAAUGGCACAAGAGAGCUUGACUGUGAGAUUGACAAAUCGAGCAGGUACGAAAGUAGGACAUAGUGACCCGGUGGCUUCCAUGUGGGAGGGCCAUCGAUCAUCGGAUAAAAGGUACGCCGGGGAUAACAGAUUAAUCGCGCCCAAGAGUUCACAUCGACGGCGCGGAUUGAUACCUCGAUGUCGGCUCAUCGCAUCCCGGGGCUGUAGAAGGUCCCAAGGGUUGAGCUGUUCGCUCAUUAAAGCGGUACGCGAGCUGGGUUCAGAACGUCGUGAGACAGUUC
rnacentral:rRNA from 1 species